rnacentral:rRNA from 1 species
GACCAGACUCCUACGGGAGGCAGCAGUGGGGAAUAUUGCACAAUGGGGGAAACCCUGAUGCAGCGACGCCGCGUGAGCGAUGAAGUAUUUCGGUAUGUAAAGCUCUAUCAGCAGGGAAGAAGAUGACGGUACCUGACUAAGAAGCCCCGGCUAACUACGUGCCAGCAGCCGCGGUAAUACGUAGGGGGCAAGCGUUAUCCGGAUUUACUGGGUGUAAAGGGGGCGCAGACGGCAGCGCAAGCCAGGAGUGAAAGCCCGGGGCCCAACCCCGGGACUGCUCUUGGAACUGCGCGGCUGGAGUGCAGGAGGGGCAGGCGGAAUUCCUGGUGUAGCGGUGAAAUGCGUAGAUAUCAGGAGGAACACCGGCGGCGAAGGCGGCCUGCUGGACGACAACUGACGGUGAGGCGCGAAAGCGUGGGGAGCAAACAGGAUUAGAUACCCCCGUA